rnacentral:misc_RNA from 1 species
AAUUCUCAACCUUUACCAGCUUUGUUGCUUGGUCUAGGCUUGGAUGUGGAGGUUUUUGCAGGCCAAUUGAAAGGUCAGCUCCUCUGAAAUACAUUAGCGGUACCCCUUCGUGGUUAAAUGACUAUUGGUGUGAUAAACUAUCUACGCUUAUGGGCAACCACGUUCACUUGAAUGUGAAGAGGGAUUUGGCUGCUUCUAACCGUCUUUUAAAAGACAAUAGAAUAUAAAUGACU